UUCCUAUUAAUUGCAGCAAGCAUGCUUAUGACGUGGUCUGGUGAGAGGAGUUCAAAUUAGUAUGGCUCGACUAAUAUAGGUAAUGUUCCUCUUGAAGGAAAAGGACAUUGAAAUUUUUCAUGAUGCAACUAUUUAAAGACAUGCAUCCGACUGAGUGGUGACAUAGGACUGGUUAGAAGUGGUUGUUCGAGUUUAGUGAGUUUAUUUCAUAUUUGGCCAAUGGUAUGUAUUAAACAAUGAUGCUUUGUUUUGUGAAGACUUCAAGAGUUCUACAUUU